rnacentral:rRNA from 1 species
AGUGAACGCUGGCGGUAGGCCUAACACAUGCAAGUCGAACGGCAGCACAGUAAGAGCUUGCUCUUACGGGUGGCGAGUGGCGGACGGGUGAGGAAUACAUCGGAAUCUACUUUUUCGUGGGGGAUAACGUAGGGAAACUUACGCUAAUACCGCAUACGACCUACGGGUGAAAGCAGGGGAUCUUCGGACCUUUCGCGAUUGAAUGAGCCGAUGUCGGAUUAGCUAGUUGGCGGGGUAAAGGCCCACCAAGGCGACGAUCCGUAGCUGGUCUGAGAGGAUGAUCAGCCACACUGGCACUGAGAAACGGUCCAGACUCCUGCGGGAGGCCGCAGUGGGGAAUAUUGGACAAUGGAGGCAAGCCUGAUCCAGCCAUACCGCGUGGGUGAAGAAGGACCUAGGGUUGUAAAGCCCUUUUGUUGGGAGGGAAAAGCAGCAGGUUAAUCCCCCGCUGUUCUGACGGUACCCAAAGAAUAAGCACCGGCUAACUUCGUG